GUUCUUUGCCCUGUGGCGGAGAACAAUCAGGCUUAUGUUUAUCCAAAUGAUAACAAAACAGUAAGCUUUUUUCUAAUUUAAAGCGUUUUGCCCUUCUACCGGUUGUGAUUUUUUACAGUGGGACACAGCUAAUAUAAUUUAAAAUUCUUCCGAAAUUAAACGGUUCAUUUGGCUUUCGGUAGCAUGUAUAUUUGAAUGUCUUUAUUUUAGAAAACUUAUUGGAUCGGGAAAGCCGUCAGUAGAACAUCCGACGUUUUCCAAAGAAGUGGUACUCCUUCCAGAUGCUGAAUGCCAGAAAGUGCCCAGAGCUGCAAUUAAAGCGUGGCUGUUCGAGUCUGGUCAUAUCAAGUCAGCGGUGGAAUUCAAAGUGUGUUGGGAUGAAGGCAUGGUGAUGAAGGCUGUUCGUGAAGCGUUCAAGCCAAAGCUUGAUACAUGCGGGUUAGUAUUGCAUUUCCUUUUGUAUAUUUCUUUCGCUGGAAGUGCAUAUCUUGUAAAUGUAAAAUUUAAUAAACUAUUGUUUUAUGUUUUAUAUUUAAUUGUAAUUAUGUAUUACGUUAUCUAUCAAUUUUUAAUCUUAGGCUUCAAAUUUUACUUGGAUGUCACAGCAAACUGGUGGUGCCAUCCUUGACGAGCCUCCAAACUUUAAAUGGCUUUGUGAUUAAAAAGAUAUUUCAUCAGAAGUCUAUCUAUAUAAGACCAGAUACAACACUGUUGACUUUUCCUGAGGCAUCUCCAUCAAAUUCUGAAGGAGAAAUAAUUGAGGAGCAGAAGAGUGAAAGAGAUUUUGAAUCUUUAGAAAAAAACAGAAGUGAUGCCAUUGAUGCAAUAAAAAUUCAUAGCACCGGAAAAGUACAAGAGCAAUCUACUGUGUCUCUUAAUCAAGGUGCAAUUUUUACUCCGCUUGCACAAAACUUUAAUGAGACAUCAGGGGAGAUUUACAGUGACUAUGUUAACCUUCUUGAAAAUGAAGAAUACUUGUCUGAAGAUUCCGAUAUUCAAGAAGCAAUUAGCAGAUCAUUGAUGGAAGAGACAUUUAAAAGCCAGCAGUAUGUAGUUUAAAUUAAUGUUGGGUUGAACCCCAAAUAUUU